rnacentral:rRNA from 1 species
AUUGAACGCUGGCGGCAUGCCUUACACAUGCAAGUCGAACGGUAACAGGUCUUCGGAUGCUGACGAGUGGCGAACGGGUGAGUAAUACAUCGGAACGUGCCUAGUAGUGGGGGAUAACUACUCGAAAGAGUGGCUAAUACCGCAUGAGAUCUACGGAUGAAAGCAGGGGAUCGCAAGACCUUGUGCUACUAGAGCGGCCGAUGGCAGAUUAGGUAGUUGGUGGGAUAAAAGCUUACCAAGCCGACGAUCUGUAGCUGGUCUGAGAGGACGAUCAGCCACACUGGGACUGAGACACGACCCGGACUCCUACGGGAGGCAGCAGUGGGGAAUUUUGGACAAUGGGCGCAAGCCUGAUCCAGCAAUGCCGCGUGCAGGAUGAAGGCCUUCGGGUUGUAAACUGCUUUUGUACGGAACGAAAAGCCCUGGGUUAAUACCCUGGGGUCAUGACGGUACCGUAAGAAUAAGCACCGGCUAACUACGUGCCAGCAGCCGCGGUAACAC